UAAGGAAUAUUGGACAAUGGGGGCAACCCUGAUCCAGCCAUCCCGCGUGCAGGAUGACGGCCCUCUGGGUUGUAAACUGCUUUUAUUUGAGAAGAAUGGCGUGUAUUUAUACGCGUUUGACGGUAACUUAUGAAUAAGCACCGGCUAAUUCCGUGCCAGCAGCCGCGGUAAUACGGAAGGUGCAAGCGUUAUCCGGAAUCACUGGGUUUAAAGGGUGCGUAGGCGGCAAAUUAAGUCAGGGGUGAAAGCCCGGCGCUCAACGUCGGAACUGCCUUUGAUACUGGUUUGCUUGAAUUAGGCUGAGGUCGGCGGAAUGUGACAUGUAGCGGUGAAAUGCAUAGAUAUGUCAUAGAACACCAAUUGCGUAGGCAGCUGACUGGACCUAUAUUGACGCUGAGGCACGAAAGCGUGGGGAGCGAACAGG
rnacentral:rRNA from 1 species